rnacentral:lncRNA from 10 species
CGAAUGUUCAGUGAGAAAUCAAACGCCAACUGCAAGGGCAAAAUAUAAUAAAAAAUAGCUUAAAGUAGCUAGUGCCUUCAGGAUAAAAUCUGGAAAAGAGCUUUCUUGCUGAUCUUUUUUUGAAACUUUGCUGCUCCUGAAGUUUUUACCCUUUAAGGCUCCUCAGUUUAUAUGAAGCUUGGAGGACAAAUAACAGACAGGUUUGAGCCUAACAGAUUUGUUUGAAUCCCAAAUUUACCAAUGACUGCUUGUGUGACCUACUAAACUAAGCUCCAGGAGGGCCAGGCCAGGUGUCUUAUUCAACCACAAAAUCCCAGACGCCUCCUCCCCAGCGCCCCCGGCAUGUGAGGCACAUUUCCUCCAUCAGCAUAGGAAUCGGAUGACCUGGGAAAGGGAGUAUUGUUAGUUUUCCCAGCGCCAGCUUCAAUAGGGAUCGGGGUUAUUUAAAAAUGCAGGAGAAAAAUAAGGAGGCACUCAAAAACAAAACACAAAACCCACAUUGAUGGGGGCAUGUCAAAGGCGGGAACAGGAGAUAACGGAAACCCACAUUGAUGGGGGCAUGUCAAAGGCGGGAACAGGAGAUAACGGAAAGAGUUCCCAAUGGUCAAAGCUGGGCUAAUUUGAGCAACAAAAUAAAGCAGUAUUAAAUUGUAACCCAAAGUAUAAAAUAUUCAUGUGUCCACACUGAUAAACAUAAAUGAUCGAACUAAUAAAGCGAAAGGGACAACUGUCCUUUGCAGAAGAAUUUCAAUUAAUUAUGUAGACCACUCCCAAAAAAGUACACUACAACUCCCCAUUCCUUUAGUGUGGGCUGUGCAUAGUGAUUUCCUUCCAAAGAGCACAGUAUGAAAUGGGGGAAAAGAGUAACUUUACAAUGGAGAAACCUGACAAACACUCCUUCAGCCAGGUGAUCAGGUCGUCAACAUCAACAUCAAUAACAGUCAUAACCU